UAGGGAAUCUUCCGCAAUGGGCGAAAGCCUGACGGAGCAACGCUGCGUGAGUGAUGAAGGUCUUCGGAUCGUAAAACUCUGUUAUUAGGGAAGAACAAAUGUGUAAGUAACUAUGCACGUCUUGACGUUACCUAAUCAGAAAGCCACGGCUAACUACGUGCCAGCAGCCGCGGUAAUACGUAGGUGGCAAGCGUUAUCCGGAAUUAAUGGGCGCAAAGCGCGAGUAGGCGGUUUUUUCAGUCUGUAGUGAAAGCCCACGGCUCAACCGUGGAGGGUCAUUGGAAACUGGUCAACUUGAGUGCAGAAGAGGAAAGUGGAAUUCCAUGUGUAGCGGUGACAUGCGCAGCGAUAUGGAGGAACUCCAGUGGCGAAUGCGACUUUCUGGUCUGUAACUGACGCUGAUGUGCGAAAGCGUGGGGAUCAAACAGG
rnacentral:rRNA from 1 species